CAUUGUCGCAUUAUUUUAAGUUUAAAAUGUAUAAUUAUUUACAGCGUAAUGUUCUUUAACAAUUUCUGUCUUAGCUCUGGUAUUACGGACAAUUUUGAUGGCAGAGAUGAAGGACAUAUCUGUGGGGUUUUUCACAUCGUUGCAAGUGUUCCAUCAGGUUAUAAUUAGUUGUGGCAGACUGUGUGUGAGUAAUGUGUACUUGGCAAACAAUGUCUUCAAGGAAAAAAAAAACUGAUUGUAAAAGAUUUUAACAGUUUUGGUACUACUGGGUUCAAAUUAAGUAAUUUUAAAGAUGAUUGUGUGGCCUCAAGGACGAGUGUGGGGCCUCAAGGACGAGUGAAUAGGUGACAAAAGUGAUGCCCCCUGAACACUCCCAGGUAGUUUGUGUGAAGGGUCUCAAUUCAGAAGAAAAGGUGACCGAAAUGUUGGCGGAAUCAUUUGGCCAGAAAGAAGCAACUUCAUAGCCAGGGAAAAACAAGAGAUACAGCAGUGGUUGGCAGAGAAGUAACGGUCAGUCGAAGAGCUAAAUCAGCAGCAAGAGCUGAUUUCAUUUCCAGUAAAAAGCACAUAACACCAUUCAGACAGAUGCCAGACUUACAGAAAGUGGUGGCAAAAAACUUAUGUUUGGUUUAUCAUUGACUGACAGUGACUUUGAUUGGUCUAGUACAGAAGAUUCCUCAGAAUAAACAGCAAAGGGUAAUUCAAUUUCUAUGAUAAACACAAAAAAAUAUUCUAAGAGUUCUGGAAUAACAGGCGCGUAGGAACUGGGGCCGCAGGGGCCGUGUCCGUGGCCUGAAUAUUCUGGCUAGUUAAGGCAAUGGGGCCAUGAAUAUUUGAUACUGACUUUCUUAAUAAUCAUAUUUUAAAUAAAGCUAUGCGCAUAUAGAUCAAAACCAGUCUGACACGAUAUUGAAUAAAUAGGUAACCAAAAUUAAACCCGUGACCAUCUAGCUAAUUGGCGUGUGAAUGGCGUGAAAACAUGGUGGUGGUGGUAUGAAUGUGUAACUCAGAAUAUUGCUUUUUACGAACUAACUUUUAAUUUAUUUGUAGCUGGUGUGAAGUAGAAAUGAUAUAUAGAAUGGUGCUAUCUCUUCUACUAAGAUGGGUGUAUCUGAGUUUAUAGAUAGAUUUAUUUUAUUAAGGAAUGCACAUACAUGGACUUUUAAAAUAAACAACAUGUAUAGUAAAUAACAUUAUACAUACAUGAUAUUAUCAAUAGCCAUGGCAGGCACCGAACCAAGGAUGACACAAAAAAGAGAAAACACUUAUUUCCCUUGUGGUCCUUAUCAUUGACUGACAGUGACUUUAAUCCAUCAAGUACCGAAUAUUCCACAGUAUAAACAGCAAAGGGUGAUUCAAAAUCUAAGAUAAACAAAAAAUCUUCCUCGCCAACCUUCACAAAGGAUGUGGCAGGAGAAGGCAACAACUACGUUAAUAAAGUGCCUGACAUUCCUCUUCACCAGCCUGGAGAGGAAGCCAGGGAAAUAAAAUUAUGUGAGAGCCUGGUCUAGUAAAAAACACACAGGACCACCGCUUUGUGAUGUCCCUUCACAUGACUGGCUGAUGCUUUGCCUCAUCUAGCAGAACUGUCUGUUGCUAUGCAGGCAAGGGAUGCAGUGUACACCACAGUGUCAAGCCUCUGGUAAAGGGGACAUGUGCUAUCCUGCAAGGACUGCUGGCAGAGCCUACCAAGCUUGCAGAUCUACAGUCACUUCCUGAUGAACAUUGUGGUGAACCUAGAGGAUCGAUUCCCAGACCUUCCACUCCUCUAGAAGUUUGAGGUCUUCAACACCCGGAAGUUCCCUCAGGACCCGGUAGGAGAGUAUGUCAGGGAUGGUUUGAUGCAAGCUAAGCAGGCCAAAGUUGAUUGAAAAGAUUAUGUCCAGACGUAUGGGAACUGUACAAGAUGUGUU